rnacentral:rRNA from 1 species
UGAGAGUGGCGAACGGGUGAGUAAUGCGUGACCAACCUGCCCUGUGCACCGGAAUAGCUCCUGGAAACGGGUGGUAAUACCGGAUGCUCCGCUCCAUCGCAUGGUGGGGUGGGAAAUGCUUUUGCGGCAUGGGAUGGGGUCGCGUCCUAUCAGCUUGUUGGCGGGGUGAUGGCCCACCAAGGCGUUGACGGGUAGCCGGCCUGAGAGGGUGACCGGCCACAUUGGGACUGAGAUACGGCCCAGACUCC